UCAGAGGUCACUGUGGGUGAUCUGGGUAGGAGGAAAAUUCAGAUCUCCUCUUACAAACCCUACUUUGAAACCAAAUAUUCAAUCUUGCAUAGGCCCAUUAAUUCUGUGGGCCCUGUGAGCUGGCUGAGAUCUCUGAGGGUGAAGGAAUCUCAUCUGGUCCCCUCCACUGUUUAUCCACAGAGCAGGUGACUCCACCCUCCAUCCAAAUCACUGACACCACAGUGAAAGAAAUGGACUCUGUGUUUGUUCCUGUUUUGCCUUUCAAAACACAUGAAGAUCUCUAUCAGUUGGCUCUUCAAUGGCAGUUUUGGGCUUUCAAACAGGAUGAAGCUGUCCCAGAACCACAGCACCCUCAGCAUAGACCCUGUCAGGAGGCAGGAUUCGGGAGACUAUCAGUGUGAGGUCUCCAAUCGAGUCAGUUCCAAGAGGAGUGAUCCCACCAUCUGGACAUAAUAUCCUCUACCACCACUGUUCAAGUCACUGUUGAAGCAGUUCCACUACACAGUGCUGAAGGGAAGAACGUUCUUCUACGUGUACACAAUAUGCCUGGGACAGUCCUUUCGUUCUGCUGGUACAAGGGAGAAACUGUGGUUCAGAGGAAUGAAACUGCAGGAUUUGUAAUGUCCAAAAAUAUGAUUGAAACAGAGCCUGCAUACAGCAGCAGAGAGACGGUAUACCACAACGGAUCCUUCUUCUUCUAGAAUGUCACUCAGAAAGAUAUGGGAGCCUACACGUUAUUUAUUGUAAUGGAAAAGUGGAAAAUCAAGAGUGCAUCUGGGCAGUUCACUGUAUACUCUAAGUAGUUCUCUGUAACCUCUGGUAGUGAAUUCCACACUGUCACCCUUGGGAAAGGAGCAUAAAUGUUUUGCAAAUGGAAA